rnacentral:rRNA from 1 species
AGUACCCGGAGGAAGAGAAAACAAUAGUGAUUCCCUGAGUAGUGGCGAGCGAAAAGGGAUUAGCCCAAACCUUGACUGUUACGGCAGUUGAGGGGUUGUAGGACUGAGACAUCUGAUAUAAACAGAACGAGAAUUAUCUGGGAAGGUAAGCCAAAGAGGGUGAGAGCCCCGUAUUGGUAAUGUUUAUUGAGGUAUCAGUAUCCUGAGUAGGGCGGAACAGGAGAAAUUCCGUCUGAACCAGCCGGCACCAUCCGGUAAGGCUAAAUACUCCUGAGAGACCGAUAGUGGACAAGUACCGUGAGGGAAAGGUGAAAAGUACCCUGAAUAAGGGGGUGAAAAGAACCUGAAACCAUGCGCUUACAAGCGGUCGGAGGUUCCGUAGUGGACUGACGGCGUGCCUUUUGCAUAAUGAGCCUACGAGUUACUCUUCACUGGCGAGGUUAAGGCAUUAGAGUGCUGUAGCCGGAGCGAAAGCGAGUCUGAAUAGGGCGCAUAGUCAG